UACGGAGGAUGCAAGCGUUAUCCGGAAUGAUUGGGCGUAAAGCGUCCGCAGGUGGCUAUGUAAGUCUGCUGUUAAAGAGUGAGGCUCAACCUCAUAAGAGCAGUGGAAACUACAUGGCUAGAGUGCGUUCGGGGCAGAGGGAAUUCCUGGUGUAGCGGUGAAAUGCGUAGAGAUCAGGAAGAACACUGGUGGCGAAAGCGCUCUGCUAGGCCGCAACUGACACUGAGGGACGAAAGCUAGGGGAGCGAAUGGG
rnacentral:rRNA from 1 species